rnacentral:lncRNA from 1 species
UGAACAGUGAUUUGUUUGUCUGGCUUCUUCUCAUUUACCUAUUUGGGCGGUCAUCCCCAUUCAGAUGCGUGUCUUUCACCUUUACAUCUUCAUUCUAAUCAGCUUCAAAAAGAGAGAACAAGGGCUGGCAGAAGCGGGACCGCCCCUGGUGGCGGAGUCGUGGCGGAGCCACGACGGUGGCCGGUUUCUUUAAAUGGUUAGGGUUUCAAACAUGAGACGUCGGAGAACAAGGCCUUCUGGUUUUGGGGGGUUUUCACUAUGGCCACUUAAUAAUGGUUAGGGUUUCAAACAUGAGACGUCGGUUGUUGAAGGCGUCCGUUCAUGAGCUCCUGUGGUGGCGGCAAUUGUUGAUUGUGCCUAUCUUUCGGUUUCCUUUGUUAGGGGUCGAUGAUAGCUAGGGUUUCCUAUGCUGAGACUCUAACCGACUUUGAUAGGUGGUGGUUACUUUUAUCUACGAUUUAUCGGUCACGAUGUGUUUCUUCAUCUGAGAUGUUCUUGAUUUGAAUAAUGAAACCCUAAGUCGCUUAUGCGAUGAUGAUUGUGUGGGUGUAAACCGAGUUGGGGAUUUCACCGUGGCGUGGCAUGUUUGAGAGAUGGUAGAUGUUCACCUGCAACCUCCAAUGCAGCCACGGUUAUCUCCUUCAUUUACACCAUCUGAGCCGUAAUGCUCUUUUUAUAUUGGAACUGGUUGCGUUAUAUAUAUGUAUUAAUAGUCACGCAUUUAUCUACUGCUAAUUGGAUGCUUUUCUCUAAUUCUAAGGAUGGGUCAUUAGCUCAGAUUUAGGAAAAUUUUCUACCCUGCAAGACACCGCAUCAGCGGUUAUAAAUGCACGAUUAUACUUGUGGACCUGUUCGGGUUGGAACACAUUUUGGCCAGAGAUUGUUACAGGCAUGCUAAAGGGUGAGCGCAACAAACUUGGCAACCGUGUUGAAAAAGAAGCAGUUGAAGAUGGUUUCUUAGAUUACUAUAGCGGCUAACAAGUGUUUGGUUUUCAAAUCUGAGUCACCUUUAUGAAAUCCAUAAUUAUGAGGUAUACGAAAACGAAAUCUCCUGCCACUCAAGGAUCAAUGGUAUGGCAUUUGUAGCACCCACCUUCAUACGGAAUUAAGUUUGUUAGAUCUUAGUUGCGAAGGUUUUCUAAUUUUUAUGUAUGUUUCCUAUGUAUGCGUUAGGUCAUAUAUAAUACAUUUUGAUUCUGAUUUGACGGUGUUAAUUUGACUUAGUUUGUGUUUUGAC